rnacentral:lncRNA from 14 species
AGAUGGUUUUCCAUAUGGAAUACCAGUGUGUAAGAAGGGUUAAAGUCUUGAAGCUAUUGAGUCCUUUUUGAUUUGGCAUUGUUGAAUGAGCUGUGGAAAACGUACCUCUAUUUGAGCAUGCUGCAGAGUAACUAGAAACAAUGGACCAAGAAAGAAACUGAAAAAUCCAGUCCCAGUUUUGUGGUAGCAGCAGAGAUACUCGUGAAACUAAAGUGGUCUUUCUGGACUUCAGGUCCUGAGACAAAGGUGAGAAGAUGCUGAAGACAUGGUAUUCUUUCCUGCUGUGUUGGCUGUCCUUGCAACUUGAGGCUAAUCCUGGUCUUAAAGUGAGGAUUACUCAGAAGGGGCUGGACUACGGCAGGAGGAUUGGGAUGGAGCUCCUGAAGCAAGAAGUACUGAAAGAGACUUUCCCAAGCUGGAGUGGGCAGGAGAGUUUCUCGGUUGUUAAGGUCAACUAUGUCAUUUCAAGGUAAAAUAAACACAUUUCAAUGUUUUAGGAUGAAACA